GCACGGAUGUUAGCUCAGGGCCAGUCUUCUUCAGUGAAAAGAGGAGGAUUGGCAGUAGUUAGCUCAAGGCUAAUCUUCCUCAAAAAACAAAACAAACAAACAAACAAAAAGCCACAGACUGACUUGAUUUAUCUUUCAUCUCCCCACUUUUGAUAGUGACCCAGAUACACAGGACUGCUUUUUGCUUUUUUUCUAUAAAAAGCCAACAAUACAGGCAUGACAACAACAGCCCUAAAGUGUUAGGAACAAUAGGAAGGGGUAGAGACUGUUGAACUGCUCAGUAUGCAUCCUGUCUGAGGAGUGAGCCACUCCUAAGCUCACUGCAGGAAGGCCAGGAGGGAACCAGGCAUGGAGAAGUGCAGCCCAGAGCUCUGGACUUUAAUGAAGAAUUUCCCAAUUGCUCGAUGUUGGCUCAUGUUGUUAUAUGGAGACGAAUCAAAAUAGUGCCCCAGGAAGCUGUGCAGCCGACGAAUGUGCACAGUGUCCACUCCGCAACUACGCGGGGGCCGUUACCACUGUAAAUUGACCACAAUAUCAAUGGCGACCCUGGAGUUGUGCAACACCGUGGUGUGGAUUCAAACCACUGCAAGCAAGGAGUCUCUAUUCUGAGCAGGGAGUCUCUAAGACACUGUUUUUCAGGCUUUAGGGUACACCAACCCACUGAGAUGCUUGCUUAAAAUGCAGAGUCCUGAGGCUUGUGUUCUGAGAUUCGGAGAGGAGGCCCAGGAAUUUGCAUUUUUUUUUUUAAAAAAACCCAAACAUUUUAAAUAGCCUUUACUUUUUAGAAAAGCUUUAGAUUUACAGACAAAUUGAGAAACUUGUACAAAGACUUCCUGUAAACCCUACACCCAGUUUCUUCUGUUCUUAACAGCUUACGUUAUGGUGGUAUAUUUGUCACAACUAGUAAACCAAUAUUGGUCCAUGACUGUGAACUAAAGCCCAUGCUUUGUUCAGCUUUCCUUCGUUUUUACCUUCUGUCCUUUCUCUGUCCUGGGAUCCCAUCCAGGGUGCCACAGUACAUUUGGUUAUGUCUCUUUAGGGUCUUCUUAGUGGUGACAGUUUGUCAGACGUUCAUUGUUUCCAAUGACCUUGACAGUUUUGAGGAGGACUGGUCAGGUGGUUUGCCAGGGAUCCUUCUAUUGGAACUUGGCUAACGUUUGUCUCAUGAUAAGAUUGGAGUUAUGGGUUGUUGGUAGGAGGACCACGGAGGCAAAAUGCCAUUUCCAUAUAUGUUGACCUUGAUCACCUGGCUGAGGUGGUGCUAGUCAGGUUUCUCUGCUGUAAAAUCGCCCCCUCCCCCUUUUCAUACUGUCCUCUUUGAAAGGAAGUCACUAUGUGCAGCCCACACUUGUGGAGGGAGUAAUGCCCCACCUCUUUGAGGACAGAGUAGCUAUAUAAAUUAUUUGGAAUUCUUCUACACAGGAAAUUUGUCUCUUCUCCCCCAUUUAUUUAUUCAACCUUUUAUUUAUAUCAGUAUGGACUCAUGGAUAUUUAUUUUAUACUUUGAGUAUAAAUCAACACUACUUUAUUUGUUUUGUUGCUUAAAUUGUCCCAACUUUGGCCCCUGGGAGCUCUUUCAGUCGGCUGCUGUGUCCCUUUGACAUGCCCCCAUCAAUAUGGGUUUUGAGUCAGCAAUUUUAACAAGCUCCCCAAGUGAUUCUGGUACAGGUGAGAAAUGCAGCUGUGGAACGUGCCGUGAACUCUGCUGACUACAGAAGCCCUCCGGCUCAUUGAUUCCUUCAGCAAACAGGUAAAGGGUGACUCCUCUGCCUUAGCCACUGGGCAAACACGGAGUGUCACCUCCCUGCCAGGCACGGUGAGGAAUGCUGAGAAUGCAGAGUUUGUCCGAAAAGUCAGACUUGGGGGUGGACAUGCUACGAGGGAAAUAUGGAUGUGGUUAACAAGAGAGAGGAAAAGAAGUGCCUACCAAUCCUUUUUCCUGUCCUUAGUCGGCUCCCCAGAUGCUUUAGAAAAAAGCAGGUUAAGAAUUGGGAGAGGACAUCAGGGACCAAGCGGGGUCCCAGGGGACAUGGGAAAGGGUUGAGCUGAAAAGCACCUAUGGAAAAUCCGGAGUUAAAUAGGAAGAAAGUUCUUUAUCCUCUGAGACUGAAGAAAAGGAGAUUGGCUAUAGAGAUUUUUGUAGAUUGGAGAGGGAGGGGCAAGUUCGAGGUCCCCUAUAAUGGCUUUACUUUUCUGGAUGAAACAGGAGGCCAGGUCAUCCUUUCUAGAAUGAGGGGUCUGGGGCUGACCUCGGGGCCUGUGGGGGCAUUAAAGUUUCGAGAUAGCAGUUGGGGGUGCAUCAGUUAGAAUCCAGGCAAGAGACAAAAACCACAGCCAUGAUUUGAAAAGAGAGAACUAAAUGUAAAGAACUGUUAAAGACGUUAAAGUUAAAAGAGAUAUCAGAGAGGAGGCAGCUACCACUUCUAUGAAAAUCUUGCAAUUUGAAGGAGUUGUCCCACAGGACCUGCGGGCUGGAGACAGUCUGGAACAAUACAACUGUCUCUGCAAGUGCUGGAACAACUGGAAGGCACAUUCCGCUGCUGCUACAGGAAGGCAUGUGCCCCACCCCAGGUGAACAGGGGUUGCUGGGGUGUUGCUCAGAGGAACCACAAAGAGGUCGCAAGUCCCUCCUUCUUCCUCCAGGCUUGCAGCCUUCCUGUAGCACCCCUACUUGGUGGAGCCCAGUGUGUGGUUUGCAGGGUCUCAGCCUAGCGUCACGAAGCCAAGUAGAGAAGCAUGGGUUUGGAACCCAGAGGCAAUAACUGUCAUGUGGAAGCCACCCUUCAACUGUCUGAGUGACAUUUAGGAACUGUAUAUACAGGGUCAGCCACUGGUUCCCUUGGUUGCUUAACCUCCAGAAAAUUCCUGAUGAACCAUCUGGUUCAAAAGGAACUAAGCAAGGGUUACAAGGGUCCAUCUACGAAUGAAUGGAUAAACAAACAGAAUGUAGCAUCUGCACACAAUGGGAUAUUGUUCAGACUUUAAAAGGAAGGAGAUUCUGACACAUGCUACAACAUGGAUGAACCUUGAGGACAUUAUUUAAGCCACUCACAAACAGACAAAUGCUGUUUGAUUCCACUUAUUUGAGCUAUCAUAAACAGUGCUGCUGUGAUCAUUCUUGUUCAGGCUUCCUGGUGCACAUGAGAAAAAGUUUCUCUAGAGGAAAACUGCUUGGCCAUAAGGAACACCAAUUUUGACAGUGGCCCGGAAUGAGAGUGCCUUUUUGGAAGCCUUGGCGUCCAGCAGAGAAAUGCCAGCACAUCUCUGGAGAACAAAACAAAACAAAACAAAAUCAGGAUUGGACGCACUGAAGAGCUUAAGAAGAGCAAUUUAAUUUUACCCACAUCACCCCUCCCCAAGGUAGCACAGCUCAGUGCAAAGAAAGACCUUCUCUGCCGGCGAUUUCACCCACCAUGGAAAGUGAGAGCAUGUGAGCGAGCUCCUGGCUUCCCCAGCUGUGCCGGAGGCUGCCAAAGAGACCCACUCCUUCCUGGCCCCGCCAGAAUACUGAGGGGUGCCGCAUGAUGGGGGAGGAGAGGGACUCUGCAAGAACAGCAGCCCGGGCUCUCUGAGGGCAUCAAAGAAACGCAGAUCCUGCUGACUGCUUCUCCAGCUCCAUCAGGAAGCCCGCCCACAAGUCACUGGGGACGUCUUGCCUGCAGAUCCAUACAGAUACGGUAGAAAGGGCAACAUCUUUUACCCAAAUGGAAAAAACACUGGACUUCAGUCUGAAAACAAAGGGUUGAUUCUGACCUAAGGCAAGCCAGCGACGACACCUGUGAAAUGAGAACUAACUAUUUUCCUAUAGGAAAGGAAUUUGCCUCUUUAUUUCAACACAGCAGAGCAGAAUGCUUCUAGAUCAAUCUUCCUAAAACUUCCUCUAGUCAUGUUCUUUCAUGUACAAACACCUACAAGGGUUCCCCUCUCUCGGAAUCCGAGAUCUCCGUGCUCAGGGCCAAACCGGCCUUUCCCAGCUGACCUCCAAGACCUCCCCUGCCGCCUCUUGGGUUCCAAACUAACCUGAUAAUCUGCUUCCCGUGCUCACUUGUUACUUUGCAUCUGUGCUCUCCCCACUCCGUCCACCUAGAGUGUUCCUUCUCUCAUAUGUGUCAGUUGAAUCCCAUCCAUCCUUCAAGGUCCAGGAUAAGUGCCUCUUUCUCUGUGAGAUUUCCUCUGAUCUAUCUGAAUCUCCCCAAUACUUGGGGACCUCCUCUUACAUCAAGUACUUUAUUGUUUAUAUAGUUUUCUCCCCAUCUCUAGAAGAAUUGAUGUUUUUCUCAAUAGUGUAUAUAUCUCCUUCAACUUUCUGUUUCCCCAUACAGCCUAGCAAGAUGGCUUUUACCUAGUAAAAAUACACUAUUUAUUACAUGUCUCAUGGACUUAAUAUGAAGUGAAUUAAAGACAUCACCGUUGUCAAUAAAAACCACCUUUGAAUGAGCACCUACUAUGUGCUAGACCCUGUCUUAAGAACUUUUCAUGCAUUAUACCACUUAAUUGUGUCGUACAUAUUUCUAUAUAAAUGAUACCCUUAUCUUCA